GGAAGCACCAGAAUUCUCGGAAAGGCGUCUCUACGGCUGCCUGAACCCGACGCCUAUUUCGACGCCGACCCGGCGCUUUCAGCGCGAUUUUCCGUGGCGUUUCCCGGUGUGUGAACACGAGUGGUGGGGUCAGCGGCGCCGGGGGCGGGAGGAAGCCUCUGUCCCGCGCCUGACGAGGACCCCGCGACGCCGCGCAGUGCCGGACCGGGCACCUGUUCGCACCCCACCCCCGGCCCGGGGAAAUGCUUCAGGAUUCAAAAUGGUCGGAAAAUAACAGUCACUAGAGCAGCCUUCGCCAUUCCCCCUGCUCCCCCGAAGGGCAGGAGCUGUGCAGAGUCGGGAGCACUCCUCCUUCCCAGGAGCCCAGGGCUAAGUUGGUGUUCCCUGAAUUGGAUGCGCAGUUAGGGCAUCCAAAGGAUCGUGGCAAGCGCAGCACUGAAAACAUCAGGAUGAAACAGUUCUCAAGGAUCUCAACUUUCUAAAACAUUUGUCAAGAUAAAACCAUACAGGAAUGACCUUGAAAGAAAAGCCGCUGUCAAGAAAAGCAGCAGGAGAACAGCUGUGAACAGAGACACUAAGGAAUUGCUGCUGGCUUCCGGUCCCAGCGUCCUGUUUUUUCCAGGCAGGUUUUGUACUGAAUUGAAAGGCAGUUUUCUUGCCUCUGCGAGGCACCUGCAUCCUACCUGCGGAAGGAGAAAGUGUGGAGUGCUCUUUACUCAUUUUGAAUUUAAAUCAGAGGAGCCAAGCAGCUACAGCGCCUUUGACAGCUUUUAUACCUUGUGGAGCAUUGUAACUUCCAGGUUGUAUUGAGUAUGAAGCUUCAAAUUUUUUUAGUGCAUUCAUUGUGUCAUAAAAGGGACCUUGCCCAUAUCAAAGAAGAUAUCCAAAAUUGUGGCUUCUGAUAGCUGACUAAGAGGCUAACCUGGCUAUUAUGGGGCCUUCCAAGACGACUGAGGAGGACUCAUUUCACAUCCAACGUGGAUUCAUGUUGCCGGUCAUCCGAAAGAUAAGUUGGGGGCUACGACCUGGAGAUAGGAUGGCAGCAGGGUAGUGAGUUGGAAAUUCCUGGGAAAAACUUAAUAAUUAGUGCAGGGGUAAGGGAUGCUCUCUAAGGGGCCUCUUAGGACAGCUAAAGGGAGAGGCUCUACGUUUGAUUGCAACCGUAGGGUAUGCAGUGCAGAGCAGUUCCAGUCUGUGUUGUGUUGUCUGGUGUGUUGUGUUGUCUAGCGUGUCUUCAGGAUCCCUUGGAUCAGAUAUGUCUGCCUUUUAUCCUUGAGGACCUUAUGGCAAGUGUCAGCCAUCAUCUCUAGGUUCUCGAACAUUUGCACUUCUCGGCAUGUCACCGAUAUCUUUUGUUCUCUUACCGACAGGCUCAGCCGUGUCUUGGGAUCGCAUCUCAGAAGUGUUGAGUCAGAUGUCUUUUGAGGCCUCAUUCCCAGCUGUAUUGCCAUACAUCCUUUCCAGCCGUGAGUUGUAAUGUCCUGGGGCUUAUAACAUUGUAAGGAUAUGGGGAGCAUUCUGAACAUAGCGUUGUUUUGCAGCCCUCUUGAUCAUCGUGACUGACAGUUCUUAUAAUAGGUCACUCUAUUACAGUCUUUUCUUCUGCUCCUUAGAGCUGCUUCCGUCUACUGUCGCUAUGCCAUCAGUCAUCUCUUUUGGCGUCAUCUCAGUCCUCACCGUCAUUCUUCUCUCCGAGAGCUUUUUUUAUCAUCCUUGUGUCACACUGUUUGUAGCAUAAUGUGUUGUUUAAGUUUGUGUUUAGCCUGGAACUGCUCUGCCCUGUGGAAUAGACUGGGGGGUAGGUGGAAUAGAAAGAAGACUUUACGGGUAACCUUUAUCUUUGCGUAACCACCUGAGCCACAAUGCAGACGGAGCAACCACGGCCGGUCCGUGCGGGGUUCGGCGGGAGUGGUAUGGCGGCGUCUCGCAGUUUUCUAGUCCUUUGUCUUAAUGCAUGCUGUUGUCAGAUCCUAGGCGGUUUGCUUUGAGAAAUGAGAACCUGGGAAAGGUUAAACUUGCCCUGUGUGUGUCUAAGUGACUUUGACAAAUAAUUCUUUUGCAGAGGGAUAGGAUGUAAACCUGCUACAAAUGGCGGAGGCCAGAGGAGCACGGCGACGAGGCAGACGUGAAGUGCUUGUCACGGCCGGGUGUCGGCACCGGGGAGAUCGUGAGCCAGCUGGGUACCAGCAACAGAGA